rnacentral:lncRNA from 1 species
UACAAUCAAUAGUUCAUGCCAAAAUGAAUUAAAUGUCCAGUUAUUACAAAUAAGAAAGUCCCAAAUAUCCGAAUUAUACAAACCAAGUCAAUCCCUAAAGUUUAGUUGUUGCAACAUGAAAACAGUUCAGAAAUUUAAUUACAAUAAGAUAGUCACCUUAUCAUUACAUACAAAUGAAGUAAAAUGGGAAAAAAUAGGGGAAGGGUUUUGGAUAAGCUGAUACGCCCAUUUCUUCAAACUUGAGAAAAGUUUCAUGUUUAAGCUUCAAUGUAUCAAAUGAACAAAAAUAGGUACCUGUAAUUCAGCAAAAACAGGAGCAUAUGAGUAAAAUGUGAGGAGUCAAUCAAGCAAACAGUUAACCAAUCAAACAGUAGGCCCAAGGUUUCAAUAGGAUGGUGAGAAAUUCCAACUCAAAAAUGAUCAAAUUCAACCACUGAUAGUAUUUUUCAGAUAUGAAAUGAGUAUUUUAGCUCUAGUAUUGAAUAUAAAAGUUCUGGAUCCCUAUCCAAUGCCCCAAAUGGUUCAUUUAAUAGUAAAAUUGUUAGGGCAUCAGGUUUUACUUUGUUUUCAUUUUAGUCCUUAUCCCAAGCUGUAUAUUUGCCUAAGUAGUCCUUCAAUUUCUGACUUGUGCCUCAAGUUUGAGGCUACAUUUAUGCAUUAGUCCUUGCUAGAAAGUUCUAAAAGGUUCCUAUCAGAUUUUUACAAGAAUCCAAUUCCGUUUGUACCCUUAAUUCAUUUCCCUAAAUUACCUACCCCUGAAUUUUGACCCCAGUCAGUUCUUUUAACCCUAGUUCAAUUUCGAUUGACCUUGGUUAGUUCUUUGACCCUAAUUCAGUCACAAUUGACGUUGGUCAAUCAGCUUGGGUCACUAAUAAGCUCAUGAAAGUUCCCUAAGGACAAUACAUAUGAACAUACAUAUGAACAUUGAACCCUAAUCUUAAAUGAACUUAUGGAUAUACAGACAAACAACCAAAAUCAAGAAAUUAAAGAAAUUCAAACUCUUAAACAUGUAAUUACUGAACCUAAUUCGUUAUUAAAAGAAAUCAAACAUUCAAAGCUAAAAAAAUAUGUAAAAUACGAAGGAAAACUUAGCUCUCAUUCUUAUUCUCGUUUUAUUCAAUUCAAUCGGACCUUAGUUCUUCCACAUGGAUUCUAUACACUCUUAGGACGAUGAUAAACAUUUUACAAGCUCUGGGAGGGUUUUUUCAAAGUUCUGAGACUUCAAUAGAUCUCAGAUUUUGAAUUUGAGUGGUUGGGGGUUGUUAUAGACUCAAUGAUGGCAUGGUUAGUGUCAAUAGGGGUCAGGGACUACCUGGAAGAGGUUUGGAUCACUACCAGCGUGUUUGGGAUUUUAGGGUUAACCGUAAUAUUCGAGGGGUUUUAGGAUGAUUUGAGAGAGGUAAUAUACCUGGUUGGAAUGGGGACGGGGAGGUGCCUUAGUGGUGUAAUUUUGGACAGCUUUGGAAUGAGGUCGCCGGAGAUAGGGUUUCCGACCACCUUUAAGGGGAUAUUCGAGACGGAGGGGUUUUAUUUGAGGGAAACUGGUCAUGGGACGGGGUAGAGGAGGUCAUGCUGGUUAAGUGGUGUUAAUUUGGGGUAGUUUGGUUUCCGUCCGCUGCCGUGAGGCGAUUUCCGACGGCAGCAGUAUGGUGGUAGGCCGGUGGUCAAGGGCGGCGACGGGGUGGUCAAUGGGCAGCAUUAGAGUAUGAGGAAGACGGUACGACGAGGGGGGUUUGGUCUCUAGCAUGUAUUAGAGAUGUUGGGACAUAUUUGUAUGGUUUAGGACGGGGUUUAGUAGCCAUUGGAUUGGGGAGAAAUCAAUGGCUGUGAUGAUGGGAGGGGGCUAAAGAUGUCGUUUGGUCUAGCGGGAGUGGACAUGGACUGGCUGGUCGUUUGGGAUGGGUGUGUAUGGAUUUAGAGAAGGAAACAAGUUGGGCCACUCAGGUCUGGACCAAUUGUGGCCAGCCUGAGUGGCUUCCUAUGUAUAUAUAUAUACAUGUAAUGUAUUUUUGUCUUUUUCUUUUAAUUUAAUUAACAAAAAUAAUUUCUAUAUUUACUAGAAAUUCCUAAUAAAAAGAAAACCAUGUUUAAAAAUUAAACCAACAAUAAUGUCGGACAUGUACAUAUAUUUUUGUAUUUUAAUUUGUAAAACAAGUUUAUUUAAUAAUCAAAUCUUGAUUAACCAUAAACACACAGUAAUGAACAUGCACAUGCAAUUGAAUCCAAAAAUUAAAAUCCUAAUAUUUUAAAAGAAAAAAUCCUAAACAUUAAGGGUCCCGUAGGAGUUUGUUUCGACUGGUCAAAAAUCAUAUGCUCACAGUGCUACUCAGGAUGAUUAGGAACCCGAGCCCUAUUGUGUAGCCGUCAGAGGCCGGGGUCGGGGUAGAGAUCGAGGACACGUAUGUGGUGCAUCCAGAGCACUUGCGCGAGCUGCCGCCGAGGCACCACCAGCAGACUAAGUUGAAGCCUAGGCAUCUGGCACACCUACUACUACCACUACUACUCCAGCUCUCCAGGAGACUUUUUCUCAGUUCAUGAGUAUCUACACCACUUUGGCUCAUGCAGGGUUGUUUCUCAUUGUUGUAGCCAUAUCUUAGGUCUGGGGAGGAGCACAGACUGCCGUCGUCCGCACUCCUAAGCAGUGAGUGCACGUUGAGCAGGCUCCCGAGAUUAUUCCUGCAUUGCCUGCAGCGCCAGUUCAGUCCGAGGACAGGUCAGCUGCUUCAGAGGGCCAGAAUUGGAGACUUGAGAGGUCCAAGAAGUAUAAUCCCCUAGUGUUUAGUGGAUUAGCAUCUAACAACGCCUUUGGAUUUCUAGAGGUGUGCCACCGUAUUCUUUGCACUAUGGGCAUAGUAGAGUCUAGCGGGGUUUCCUUUACUGUUUUCAGCUUCGGAGUGCUGCCUAUGAUUGGUGGCGCACUUAUGAGAUAGACAGUCCAGUCAAGGCCGCUUCACUGACUUGGACCCUGUUCUCGGAUAUGUUUAUGAGAGAGUUUGUCCCCUAGAGUGUCAGGGACUCAUGGCACGCAGAGUUUGAGCAUUUGUGCCAAGGUGCUAUGACCGUUUUGGAUUAUGCUAUCCGUUGUAGCGGAUUGUCCAGGCAUUCACUGGCCUUGGUUGGUACAGUCUUGGAGAGAGUUUGAAGGUUCAUCGAGGGUCUUAUCCUACCCAUGAGAUCUAGCAUGGCUCGAGAAUUGGAGAUGGACGUUGCUUAUCAGCAGGUUGUGAGCAUUGCUAGGAGGAUCCAGGGUAUGCUUGCCAGGGAAUGAGCGUAGGGAGAGGCGAAGAGGUCUCGAGAGUCGGGCCACUACUAUUGUGCCUGCACCCCAGCAGUAGGUGAACAUGGUAGGCGUUUUAUGGGUCGCCAUGUUCAUUCAGCUCUUCCAGUAGCCAACAGUGCUCUAGAUCCACCUAUACCUCAGGAGCCUUACUAUGCACCUCCAUUUUCUAGAGCGCCUCCUGCGGGGGUUUUUCCAAAGGUCUUUCCAGCAAACCUAGCCCUAGUCGUUCGUAGAUGCCGUACCAUCCCAUAUCUUGUUUCGAGUGUGGUGAUACAUACCAUAUGGUUAGGGACUGCCCAAGUCUUGGUAGGGGUGCAUCUUCAUCGACUGCUCAGCCACAGCGUGCCCCGUAAAGCUCCCAGGCUAUGGUUACAGCUCCAGUUGCUGCCCCACCUGCUCAGCCAGCUAGGGGUGGAGGCUGGGGAGGUAGAAGUCACCCUUGAAGGGGAGGCCAGGUCAGAUAUCAUGCUCUUCCUGCUCGUGCCGAGGAAUUUGCCUCUGAUUCUAUUAUCACUUGUAUUAUAUUGGUUUGCCAUAGAGAGGCAUCGGUUCUAUUCGAUCCGGGCUCUACUUAUUCGUAUGUGUCUUCUUACUUUGCUCCGCAUUUGGGCGUUCCUCAGGAUUCUUUGAGUGCCCCCCAUCUAUGUUUCUACUCCUGUGGGACAUUCUCCUAUUGUGGACCGUGUUUAUCAGUCAUGUUUGGUUACCAUUCGUAGUUUUGAUACCAGAGCAGAUUUAUUGUUACUCGGUAUGGUUGAUUUUGACAUUAUUUUGGGCAUUGUCUGGUUGUCUCCCUAUUUGUUAUUCUUGAUUUUAAUGAACAAGACCGUGAAGCUGGCUAUUCCAGGUAUUCCGCGUGUUGAAUGAAGUGGUACUUUAGAUCACACUCCCAAUAGACAGGCCAGAUAUUAUGCCCUUCCCCUCAUGCUGAGGCUGUUGUAUCUGAUUCUAUUAUCACAAGUAUUGUGCUGCUUUGUCACAGAGAGGCAUCGGUUGUAUUCGAUCCAGGCUAUGCUUAUUCUUAUAUGUCUUCUUACGUUGCUCUGCAUUUAGGUCUGCCUCGGGAUUCAUUGAAUUCCCCCACUUUGUUUCCACUUCUAUGGGGGAUUGUCUUGUUGUGGAUCGCGUUUAUCGGUCAUGUUUAGUUACUAUUCGUGGUUUUUAGACCAUAGCAGAUUUAUUUUUACUUGGCAUGGUUGAUAUUAACAUUAUUAUUGGCAUGGACUGGUUGUCGCGACUGCCAUUAUGAAAUUCACGCCAAGACCGUGACGCUGGCAAUGCCAGGUAUUCCGCGUGUUGAGUGGAGUGGUACUUUAGAUCACACUUCUAGUAGAGUUAUCUCUUUUAUUAAAGCUCAAUGUAUGGUUGAGAAGGGGUGUGCCGCAUAUUUAGAUUAUGCGAUGGAUCUUAGUGCUAAUACCCCUUAUGUUUAUUCAGUUCCAGUGGAACAGGAUUAUCCUGAUAUGUUUCCAGCUGAUCUUCUAGGCAUGCCGCCUGAUAGAGACAUUGAUUUUGGUAUUGACCUGUUGCCAGGCACUCAGCCCAUUUCCAUUCCUCCGUAUCAUAUGGCUUCUCCUAAGUUGAAGGAAUUGAAGGAUCAGUUGUAGGAAUUGCUUGAUAAGGAUUUUAUUCGACCCACUAUUUAUCCUUUGGGUGCUCCUAUUUUUUUUGUGAAGAAGAAGGAUGGUUCUAUGCGUAUGUGUGUUGAUUAUCGCCAAAUGAACAAGGUUGCAGUGAAGAAUUGUUAUCAUUUGCUUCGUAUUGAUGAUCUGUUUGACCAGCUUCAAGGCACUGAUGUGUUUUCUAAGGUUGAAUAGCGCUCAAAUUACCCUCAGUUGAAGAUUCGGGAGCCAGACAUCCUGAAGACUGCCUUCAGGACUCGGUAUACUCAUUAUGAGUUCCUUGUUAUGUCCUUCGGGCUGACCAAUGCCCUAACAGCUUUUAUUCAUUUGAUCCACAAUGUGUUCAGGCAAUAUCUCGACUCGUUCAUUAUUAUUUUGUAGAUGAUAUUCUGGUGUAUUCCCGGAGUGGAAAGAUCAUAAGCAACACAUGAGGAUCGUGCUUCAGAUCCUGAGAGAGAAGAAGUUAUAAGCGAUGGUCUCACAAUGUGAGUUUUAGUUUGUUCAGUGGCAUUCUUAGGAACGUUAUUUCGAGCAAGGGCAUUCGGGUAGAUCCGAGGAAGAUAGAGGUUCUUCAGAAUUUCCCAGGCCGUCCUUAGCUAUAGAGAUUCGCAGUUUCCUUGGUUUAGCGGGCUACUACCAUCAUUUUGUGAAGGGGUUUUCUCGAUUACGGCUCCUAUGACUAGGUUGACCUAGGAAGGUGCCUAUUUCAGUGGAAAGAGGUGUGUGAGACGAGCUUUCAAAAGCUCAAGAUAGAUUUUAAUACAUCCCUAAUUUUUCAUAUUGCCUACCGGUUCGGGAUCGUAUAUUGUCAACUGUAAUACGUCAAGAGUUGGCCUCGGAGCGGUGUCAAUGCAGGAUGAUAAGGUGAUUGCGUACGUGUCCAUGACUUUGAGUUAGCUGCUAUUUUUCAUGCCUUGAACAUCCGGCGUCAUUAUUUUUAUGGUGUGCCUUGUGAGAUUUAUACUGAUCAUAGGAGUUUGCAGCAUUUGUUCAAGCAGAGAAAACUAAAUUUUGCACCAGAUGAGGUGGUUAGAGUUGCUAAAAUGAUUAUAAUAUUACUAUUCUGUAUCACCCGAGCAAGGCCAAUGUGGUAGCGGAUGCCUUGAGUCGCCGGGUAGAGAGUUUGGGGAGUUUGGCAUAAUUACCAGCUUCAUAGAGGCCUAUGGCGAUGGAUGUUCUGGACUUACCUAGUCAGUUUGUGAGAUUGGAUCGCUUGGAGUCCAAUCGGGUCUUAGCUUGUGUGGUUUCUCGGUCUUCCUUAUUCAAUCACAUCAGGGAGUGGCAAUAUAAUGUCUCUCAUUUACUUGUCUUCAAGGGCACGGUUCAGCAUGGCGAUGCCAAAGAUGUGACCAUUGGAGAUGAUGUGGUAUUGAGGAUGCAGGGAUGGAUUUGUAUGCCUAAUGUAUAUGGACUUCGGGAGUUGAUUUUAAGAUAGGCCUGUAGUUGCGGUAUUCCAUCCAUCUGAGUGCCGCGAAGAUGUUUCAGGAUUUGAGGCAGCACUAUUGGUGGAGGCGGAUGAAAAAGUAUAUAGUUGGAUAUGUAGCUAGAUGCCUCAACUGUCACCAGGUGAAGUAUGAGCACCAGAGACCAGGUGGGUAGCCUUAGUAGGUAGAGAUUCCGGAGUUGAAAUAUGAGAGAAUCACCAUGGCUUUUGUAAUUGCUCUCCGUCGGAGUGCGAAGAAGUUUGAUGCCAUUUGGGUAAUUGUGGAUCGGCUGACCACGUCCACUCAUUUUAUCCCUGUGUGUAAUACUUAUUCAUCAGAGUGGUUGACGGAGAUUUAUAUCCGAGAGAUUGUUCAUCUGCAUGGUACUCCAAUUUUUAUUAUUUCAGACAAUGAUACGUAGUUUACCUCACGGUUCUGGGGAGCCAUUCAGCCGGAGUUGGGUACUCGAGUGGAGUUCAGCACAACAUUUCACCCUCAGAUGGACCAACGGUCCGAGUGCACUAUUCAGAUUCUUGAGGAUAUGCUUCGUGCGUGUGUGAUUGAGUUUAGAUGGUCGAGGGAUCAAUUCUUGACAUUGGCGGACUUUGCUUACAACAACAACUACUAGUCCAGCAUUUAUAUGGCACUGUAUGAGGCCAUGUAUGGUAGGCUAUGUAGAUCUCUAGUGGAUUGGUUUGAGCCAGAUGAGGCUAGGUUAUUGGGCACAGAGUUGGUUGAGGAUGCAUUGGAGAGGGUCUAGGUGAUUCAGGAUAGACUCCUUACGGCCAAGUCUAGAUAGAAACGUUACGCAGACCUGAAGGUUUGUGAUGUUUCAUAUACUGUCGGGGAGUGGGUUUUGCUUUGGGUUUCGCCUAUGAAGAGCUUCAUUAGGUUUGGCAAGGGAGGAAAGUUGAUUAUGAGGUUUAUUGGCCCUUUUAAGAUUUUGAGGCGACUUGGGGAGGUUGCUUAUGAACUUGCCUUACCACCCAGUUUGGCCGAGGUUCAUCGGGUAUUACAUGUUAUGAUGCUUCAGAGGUAUCACGGUGAUCCAUCACACGUGUUGUAUUUCAGUUCAAUCAAGUUGGGUACGGAUCUAUCCUAUGUUAGGGAGGCAAUGGCUAUAAUGGGCAAGUGGUCAGGAAGUUGAGGUCAAAGAACAUCACUUCAUUAAAAGGUUCAGAGGUGGGGUCAGCCGGCUGAGGAGGCGACUUGGGAGACCGAGCGGGAUAUGCGCAGCCGAUACCCUCAUCUUUUCAGUGCUUUGGGUAUUUUCUCUAUUCUCUUUCAAGGAUGAAUGAAUGUUUAAGUGUAGGAGGAUGUGACGAACCGGCUGGUCGUCUUAUGAAUUAAUGCCUCGAUACCCUAUUAACUGGUUCCUCUAAGUUUAUUUCUACUAUUUUUGGUUGCCGGGACGUUCGGUGUUGAGUUUCAAAGAGUUUCGUAACACUUAGUCCCUAAAUGAGAGCUUAAGAGUUGAAAAGUUGUCCGUAGUCGGAACAAUAAGAAGACGACCUCAGAAUGGAAAUCUAAUUGCUCUGUUAGCUUCGUUAGGAGUUUUCAGGGUUUGAAGUGUAUUCGGAAUGCAUUUUGGAAGUCUGUAGCUCAUUAUGCUUGAAAUGCCGAAGUUUGAAUUUUUGAAGUUUCUGGUCCGAUAGUGAGUUUUUGAUUCGAGGGUUGGAAUGGAAUUCCGGAAGUUGCAGUAGCAGCAACAUGCCAUUUGGGAUUUCAGUGCAAAAUUUCAGGUCAUUCAGACAUUUUGGUUAGGUUUUUGAUUGAAAGCGUAUUUUGAUGAAAUUUGAAGUUCCUAGGCUCAAAUCCUUGAUUAAUUCAAGCUUCCGGUGUUGAUUAAUGUGGUUUAAGGAUUGGUACAAGUUUGAAUGAGGAAUAAGGUGUUGUUGGUACUGUUGGUUGAGGUAUUUGGGGCCUCGGGAUGAUUUCGGAUGGUUGACGCGAAGAUCGGAGAAGUGUUGCAGCAGCUGAAGCAUUGCUUCUUCUGGUAUUUUGCAUCUGCGGGUCAGGUUCCGUACAUAUGGCGCUUGAGAGGUGGCUUUAGGUCAUUCCUUCAGGUUCCACAGAAGUGGUUUUGCAUCUUUAGAAGAAGAACCACAGAUGCGUCUCCUGGUCUUUUGAGUGGAAGUCAAACAUGCGACAUAUGUUCCGCGUAAGCGGGAACAUAGAUGUGGUCCCUUGACCGCAGAUGCGGAAUUUACUAGCCAGAAAUAGUUAUUUCGAGGGCUUAGUUUCAUAAGUGAGAAAAAAUAUUAACUUGGAGCUAGCUUGGGAGAUGGCGAUUUUGAGAGUUAUUUGAAGAGGAGAUCAUUAGGUAACUAUUCCUUAUCCCUUUCUCAUUAGAUUCCUUCAAUAUUUAGUUAAUUUCAUCAUCUAAUUUCGAAUUUUCAAUGGAAAAAGGGUAAAGCUUCAUAGACCAAAUUAUUGAGUUUUUGAGUGGGCGUUUGACCUUCGAUUUGGGAGAUUUUUAUAUGGUCAGACUUGGGAGAGUACAAGGGUUAUAAAAAUGUAAAAAUUAUCCGAUUCUGAGAUGUUGGCAUGAGGGAAAUUUUGGUCAUUUUACCUAAUUUUGCGACUUCGGUUUGAAUUAAAUAGUAAAAAAAGUUGCUCGAGAUGUUAUUUACGAUAUGUAAUUGAAUUCCAUUUGGAGUCAGAUACUCGUGGCAAAAGUGUGAUUUCGAGUUGAGUUGGAGUCGGUUCGAGGUAAGUGGCUAACCUUGUAUGGGGGAUUUCCCCCCAUAGGAUAUGAUGUUUGGUAAUUGAAUGCCCUGUACAUGAGGUGACGAGCGCGUACUCGAGCUAAUUGUUAAAAAUCUGGUUUUACUUAAAUAUUUAGAUUGAGUUUCUUUCUUACAUGCUUUAUUUUAUUUGUAGUUAUAGCCUGUGUGAGUUUAGAAAAUUAUGCUUAGUUGAUCUAAAUUGCCUAUUUGCUUAAGUUUCUUUGUUUGUACUACGUGAAGCAUGCUAGGCUUACAACUUCCUAUUGCCUUGUAUUUGUUUGAACUUCAUUGCUAAAUAUCUUCUAGUUGUGGCUGUGUUUUGACAUUGGGACUACAGAUGUACGAUUUUGGUAGCUAUCCCCCUUGUCUAUUUACUUUGGGACUGGGGGUUCGAUUUUUGAUAGAUUCCCUUGCACAGUUAUAUGGAACUACUGGGUAUUUACAUUUGAGACUAGCGGCCGGGGUUCUGAUAGAUCCCUGUGCAUUGAUAGUUUGACUACAAGACGGUAUCCUAGGAGAUCCUUCAGAUAUACACAUAAGAUGGACUACGGGACAAUAUCCCAGGAACUCCUCGGACAGAUUGAUGAAAAAUACUACAGGACGGUAUCCUGGGAGAUCCUCAUUAUUGGUACUGAUAUUGAGUGGCUUUACUUUGUGUUAUCUUAUCCAAUGUGUGUUAAAUUUUUAUUUGUGUAACGUGUCUUACUUCACAGUUAUAUUCCAUUAUUUCUACUUAUUUCAUAUUGUUGUCAGCCUUAUUAUUAUAUUUUAUCUCAGUAGGGCCUUGACCUUUCUCGUCACUACCCAAUCGAGGUUGGGCUUGGCACUUACUGAAUACCGUUGUGGUGUACUCAUUCCCCUCAUGUGGAUGUUUUUCAUGUACAGAUCCAGGUACCUCCACUCAAUUGCACUAUCCUUGAGGCGGGUAGAACUACGGAGACUUUGAGGUACAUCUGCCACAUCCGAAGACCGAAGAGUCUCCUUCUUUAAUCUAUUUGUAGUAUUUAGCCUUUUGUCGUACUCUUGUUGUAGAAAUUUCUGGAGAGUAUACCACUUUACAAUACUUCUAGCUUGUGUUCCCGUGAGUUUCCAGGUUUUUGGGUGAUACUGUAGAGUUCCGCAUUGUUGAGUUGUAUAUGCCGAGCGGCAUUUAUAUACAGUUUUAAUUAAUUAUUCUACAAGUUAUGUCGUUUUUUCACAUUGUUAGGAUUACCUAGUUUAGGGACUAGGUGCAAUCAUGACAUGUUCGUGGAGGGUAAAAUGGGUCGUGAUAACCUCGAUUCCCUAGCCGUCUUUCUUUGCAAAAAUUAGGGCUGCAAUCCCUGAGUUAAGAAUUUUAGACAUAGGGCCUCCAUUCCCUAGUUACCUUUUUACCAUUAUUAGGGCUUCAAUCCCUGAGUUGAGAUUUUAAACGUAGGGUCUGCAUUCCCUAGUCGGCUUUUUAACAACAUUAGGGCUUCAAUCCCUAAGUUGAGUUUUUAGACAUAGGGCCUCCAUUCCCUAGUCAUCUUUUACUAACAUUGGGGUUACAUUCCCUGAGUUUAGUUGAGACAUAGGGCCUUCAUUCCCUAGUGGCACGUUUUUACAACAUUAGGGCUUGAAUACCUGAUUUGAGAUUUUAAGACAUAGGGCCUCCAUUCCCUAUUCGCCUUUUUUGCCAACAUUAGGGCACAAAUCCCUUAGUUGAGAAUUUUAGACACACAGUCUCCCUAGUCGGCUUUUUUGCCAACAUUAGGGAUCCAACUCUUGAGUUAAGAUUUUAGACAUAGCGCCUUUGUUCCCUAGUCGCCUUUUUGCCAGAAUUAGGCCUCCAAUUCCUAAGUUUAUAUAUUUAGACAUAGGGCUCCAACCCUUAUGUUGAGAUUUUUUGCCAUAUGGCCUCCAUUUCCUAGUUACCUUUUUUUCAAACAUUAGGACACCAAUCCUUGAGUUGAGAUUUUAGGCAUAUGACCUCUAUUCCCUAGUCGCCUUUUUUGGCAAACAUUUGGGCUCCAAUCCCUGAGUUGAGAAUUUUCAGAAAUAGGUUCUCCAUUCCCUAGACUCCUUGUUGCCAAUAUUAGGGCUCCAAUGCUUGAGUUGAGAAUAUUAGACAUAGGGCCUCCAUUCCCUAGUCUCCUUUAUGCCAACAUUAGAGCUCCACUCCCUGAGUUGAGAAUUUUAGACAUAGGGCCUCCAUUCCUUAGUCACCUUUUUUUCUAACAUUAGAGCUCCAGUCCAUGAGUUGUAAAUUUUAGACAUAGGGCCUUCAAUCCCUAAUCGCCUUUUUUCCAAUAUUAGGGCUCCAAUCCCAGAGUUGAGAAUUUCUAGACAUAGGGUCUCCAUUCCCGAGUCGUCUUUUUGCCAACAUUAAGGCUCCAUUAACUGAGUUGGGAAUUUUAAACAUGGGCCUCUAUUCUCUAGUCACCUUUUUUCCCAACAUUAGAGCUCCAAUCCUUGAGUUGAGAUUUUAGACAUAAGGCCUCUAUUCCCUAGUCGCCUCUUUUGCCAACAUUAGGAAUCCAAUCCCUGGGUUAAGAACGUUCAGACAUAGGUUCUCCAUUCCCAAAUGUCCUUGUGUCCAAUAUUAGGGCUAUAAUCCCUGAGUUGAGAAUUUUAGACAUAGGGCCUCCAUUCCUAGUUUCCUUUUCGCUUAUAUUAAAGCUCCAAUUCUUGAGCUAAGAAUUUUAGACACAGGGCCUCCAUUCUCUAGUCACCUUUUUUUCAGCAUUAGGGCUCCAAUCCCUGAAUUGAGAAUUUUAGAAAUAAGGCCUCCAUUCCCUAGUCACCUUUUUGUUUGCCAACAAUAGGGCUACAAUCCCUGAGUUGAGAAAUUCUAAAAAUAGGGCCUUCAUUCCCUAGUUGCCUUUUUGCCAACAUUCGCGCUCCAAUCCCUGGGUUGAGAAUUUAGACAAGGACGUCCAUUCCUUAAUCACCUUUUUUGCCAACAUUAUGGCUCCAAUCCCUUAGUUGAGAUUUUAGACAUAGGGUUUCCAAUCCUUAGUCGCCUUUUUUGCGAACAAUACGUCUUCAAUCCUCGAGUUGAGAAUAUUAGACAUAGGGCCUUCCUUCCAUAUUCGUCCUUUUUGCCAAAAUUAGGGCUUUAAUCCCUAAGUUGAGAUAUUUAGACGUAAUACCUCCAUUUCUUAGUGGCACUUUUUGGCAACAUUAGGGCUCCAAUCUCUAAUUUAGACUUUUUAGACAUAAGGCUUCCAUUCUAUUCGUCUUUUUUGCCAACAAAAGUGCUCCAAUCCCUGAGUUGAGAAUUUUAGACAUAGGGCCUUCAUUCCCAGUCAACGUUUUUGCCAACACUAGGGAUCCAAUCCCUGAGUUGGGAUUUCAUACAUAGGGCAUCCGAUCCCUAGUUGCCUUUUCGCCAACAUUAAGCUCCAAUCCCUAAUUUGAUAUAUUUAGACAUAGGGCUCCAAUCCCUAAGUUGAGAUUUUCAGACACAAGGCCUCCAUUUCCUAGUCGCCAUUUUUUCCAACAUUACGGCUCCAAUCCUUAAGUUGAGAUUUUAGACAUAUGGUCUCUAUUCCCUAGUCGCCUUUUUUUCCAACACUAGUCUCUAAGUUGAGAAUUUUCAGACAUAGGUUAUCCAUUCCCUAGUCUCCUUGUUGCCAAUAUUAGGGAUUCAAACUUUGAGUUUAGAAUUUUACACAUAGGGCCAGCAUUCCUUAGUCGCUUUUUUACCAACAUUAAGGCUCCAAUUCCUGAGUUGUGAAUUUUAGACAUAGGACCUCUUCCCUAAUUUUUGACCAACAUUAGGGCUCCAAUCCUUGAGUUGAGAAUUCUAGACAUAGGGCAACCAUUCCCUAGUCGCCUUUUGUUUUUUGCCAACAUUAGGGCUCUAAUCCUUGAGUUGAGAACAUCUAGGCAUAGGGCCUCCAUUCCCUAGUUGCCUUUUUGCCAACAUUAGGGCUACAAUCCCUAAGUUGAGAAUUUUAGACAAGGGCCUCCAUUCUCUAGUCGCUUUUUUUGCCAACAUUAGGGCUCCAGUCCUUGAGUUAAGAUUUCGGACAUAGGGCCUACAUUCCCUAGUCGCAUUUUUUCCAACAUUAGGACUCCAAUCCCUGAGUUAAACUUUUUAAAUAUAGGGCUCCAUUCCCUCUUUCUCUUAUAGGCACACCACUUAUUUUGUCGCUUUUCAGAAAAAAAGAAAAAAAAUAGAAGGUUUAGAUCAUAGUUACAAGUAACUCACAAAAUUUUUCUAGUGAAAACUGGGGCAGAAAAAACUUAGUUCAUUUGUUUGUUUUAGUGUCUGAGCAUGUUUGACCUUGAGGCACAGGAUUCGGGAUGACCAAAAGAAUGAAUCUCAAUCCAGAAUAAAGAAAAGAAGAAAAAAAAAUAAGUGAACAUAAAGGUUAAACGGAAAAAUGUGCGGAAUGCUCAAGAUAUGAUUUGAAGUUACAAGCCUUGCAUGUCCCGCCUUAAUCCAAAGCUGAAGAAAGAACCAAGUAUCAAGAGUAAGAUCGGAGUCCACAGAAAGAACCAGCUAAGACUCAAGAUCAAACUUCAAAAGAUUUAUAGAUCAGAAUUUUGUAACUCAUAAUUGAUAGGAUUAGCUAGCUUAGCUUUUUAUUUUAUUUUUUCAUUUUGGGUGUAAUAAGGAACUCGACAAGUAGUAGCAGAAGCAACAAUAAUGAAACAACUAUCAGGUAGUCUCAUCUCUCGAAACUUCUAGAAGUACACUGACCUGAUUCUUCUAUAGCCAAGGAUAUGUAGGAAACCUUUGAAGCAUGUUUCGGUCAUACUCUUUUCAAAAUACUACUCAUGGAGUUUCAGAUAGGCAAAAAUUCCUCAUAAUUGCUCAUUUUAUAUUUGCCCAAAAUCACUCCGUGUCUUCGUGCAAAAAAUAGGCAGUUGUGAGCACGUAAUUUUUGAGUCACAAGAAUUACUCCUAAAGAAAUUAGAUUUUCCCUUUUAAUUAUUUGUUAUUUUAUGAAUUAUUGUAGUAUUUUUCCUGAUUGUUUGCAUGUUUAAUUUUAUUUAAUUCAUAGAAAUCCAAAAAUUAUGUUGCAUUUGCAUUUAGGUUUUAAUUUUAUAUUUCUUAGAUUAAUUAGUAAUUUAGUAUUUUACAAAAUGGAAAUAUCACCAAAAAUAUCUUAUUUUUGAAUUUUUAUUCUAUAAUUUCGAAUUUUGAUAGUUUUCUUUUAAUUUGGUAUUUAAUUAGUUGUGGUAAUUGCUAUAUAGAUUUAAUUAAUUUAAUUUGGUGGGAUAAUAUAAUUUAAGAAUUUAUUUAGGCUUUACUUUUAAUUUAGGAAAAGGAUAAUAAUUUUGAAAUUGAAAAAGAAAAAAAAAAGAAAACAAAAGAAUUUAAAAGAUUCGGCUCUUUGGGCCAAAUUUAUUUAAAGUCCCCAAGACCAAUUCAAUUACACCCUGAAUCCCAUUAAAACCAACCCAAAACUUGUCCUUACCCGGUCCAGUCCCAUUGUUAACCCAAACGACCUGUUUCAAUCUUGUUUGAUCACAGUCGUUGGAUUUCUAUCAUCCAACAACUCAGAACUGCUCUGUCAUUUACCAUAUAAGUGUCGACAUUAGGGUCAAACCCCCAAAGACCAAAAUUCAUCUCCUUCAUCUCUCUUCUCUUCAGAUACCUUACCCCAAAUCCUAGAGCGCUUCCUUGACUUUUCACCAACUCAGGCCGGAGGCACCACCCCCAAAUCACCUUAAAUCAAUACCAUGAAAUCCCCAUGGUUCCCUCUCCCCAUAUCUCUAAUUAUUUUCCCUUGAAUCACAUUUUUCCCUUUCUAAUCUUAGAUCGAUGUUGAAGCCCUAAAACCCCAAAACAAAAUCCAUACAUGCACGGCUAUUUAUCCGAGUUUUCCUUGUUAUUCAAGGUCAGUAUUACCACAAAAUAAUGUUGUUCGCUUGUUCUCUAUCAAGAACAAGCGAGUGAAAAAAUUUUGGGGUUUAAAUCAAAAUAUCAGUCUCAAAUUUGAGUUUGGUUGGUGAGUUCCUUCGUUCUUUCGUUCAUCUUUGUGCUUUUUCAACUUUCAUUCCUCUACAUAUGUUUUCUUUCCCUUUGGUUAAUUUUCCUGAAACUCCACCAAAGUUUCUAGUUGAUAUGAGUGGUAUUCAUUUGUUCACUUCAGUUUUGUUUUUUUCAAAUCCUAAAAGUUGGUUCUUUCAUUUUUAGUAAUUUUAGUUUUAUUAAUGUUAUAUUUUAAACCUCUUAUUUUGUCCUUUUUUUUAAAUAAAAAUAACUUAGUUUAAUUCUGUAUUAAACAGUCCAUUAGUCUAGGUUUUAGAUUUUUUUUGAAAUCAUUUUGAUAUUUUCUUCCUAUUUGUCAUAAAUUGCCAAAUAUAGUUUGAUUUAUUUUGUUGUUUGGUCUUUGAAGCCGUUUCAAACCUCACUCCAAGGGGUUGAUUAUGUUAUUCGGACAAAAUUGAUCCCACGUUUGGUUUAACCAUUGGGUUAGUUUGACCCUUGACCUAUGAGUUACUGUGGUAAAAAUAGGGAUCCUAAGGGAUAGAAAAAACAGGGAUCCUAAGGAUUAGUUUAGGAAUUUAGGCUAGGGAAUAUUUUUGUAACUGAGAAAGGAAAGCUUUGUAGAAGCUGUCUUUAGGAUUAGAUUGAAAAUCUUAUUUUUACACUAAGGAUACUUAAGCAAAAUUGAAAAUUUCAAAAGGGUAAAAGUGCAAAACUUAGCUCAUUUUUCCUACCUUAAAAGCAUGCCUAUAAAGGCACACUUUCUUAUUGAAUAAGGCAGAAAUUUAGAGAUAGAAAAACAUCAAAAAUUGAAAACGACGGAGCAUUUUCUCUCAAGUAAAAAGCACUAAAAAUUGUUGUAUGUUCUUCUUGGUUUUUGAGUUCUAAUUCCUUUGGUAAAUCAAAGUUUCAAGAGUUAAUAGAAUGGUUCAACCUUGGCUUUUGAAAUCUGGGAAUCGGGUUCAGACAUUGAAGAUGGCUUUUCUUGCUGAUCUCAUACUGUUUCAUUGUAUUGUUUUAAGUUGAUUUCUACUGCUACUGUGUGCUGAUACCUCACUUCUUUUGUUUCCUUUUACUUCCAGGUAUUUCUCUAUUACCAUUGAAAGGAAAGUGAAGUUAUUAAAUUGGUUUUGUGUAUGGAAACAUGAAGUUUAUUGUAAAUGAAAAUAAGCUUGUUUGUGUUUGAAGGUUAAGAUGCAUGUGUUCAUAAGAGUUUUGCAGUUCUUGCCUAUUGUAGGUUAGACUCUGUUAUAGCAUUGAACAAAUAUUUCCUUCCAUUUGCUUACUUUAUUCAUGGUCGUGUAUGGCUAAGGAGUAUAUUCUAGGUCUUGGUGAGGGUAAUAGUGCUGAGGAGUUCUUUCUGGGAAAAGAGAUUAGGGAGCGUGGUGUUUCUUGCACCCGACGCUGCCAUUGAUCUUUCUUCCUGUUUCUUGCCAUUAGCUACUCCUCCAGACCCACCCUUGAAGGCUUAGGAGGUAGCUCUUAUACCGGAUUGGCUCAAAAUUAAAACUGUCUUCAACCCGUUAUCCACCAUUUUGCCAAUGUUGAUAGCUUCAGCAAAUGGUUUACCCAUUGCGGAUAUUAUAUUUUGGAAGUAGUUAGCCUCUUGGGCUUAGAGAAAAACUGUAACCAUUUCAAUAUCAUCCAUCGAAGGCUUUAUCCUGGAGGCCUGCUCACGCCAUUUCACUGUGUACUCUCGAAAGCUUUCUGAGGAUUCCUUCUUUAAGUUUUUUAAGAAAUUCCUUUCCGAAGCAAUAUCAAUGUUGUACUUGAACUUCCAGACAAAAUCUAUAGCAAGAUCAUCCCAGAUGUGCCACCGGGUAUAUCUUGGUCCAUGUACCACUCAGAGACGAUGCCAACAAAACUUUCUCCAAAAUAGGCCAUAAGGAGUUCUUCCUUUCCACCAGCUCCUUGCAGUCGGUUGCAAUAUCUCUUGAGAUGAGAAAUAUGAUCACCGUGACCAUCAUACUUGAGAUGAGUAUUUUGAAUCCCAAUGGUAGAUGCACAUGAGGGAACAUAUAUGAGUUGGCAUACGAUACACUUUUCUUUCCACUCAAUCCUUGUAUGUUUUUAAGACUCUGUUCCAUAUUCCUAAUCUUUCUCGCGAUCCCUUCUUGCUCAGGAAUCUUUGGUGAUCUUUUCUUGCCCCACAAUGAACUCGUAUCGGGGUGGUUGAGAGUAAAAAUAAGUGGGAAAUUAAGGAGGUUCCAUUGGAAAUGAGGGUAUUUGGAAGGUUAAAGUUGUUAGGUAAAAAUUGGGCCUGCGCAAUUUAGGUUGUUCUGUGCCCAAGUAAGGGGGAGCGGUCAAGAUAUUUGAAGCUACACCACACAUUAACACCAGGGGACGAACCUCAUAAGGUGUUCCCACAAAUGAGCUGAGAUAGUUGGGUGUCCUAGUUGUAUGUUUGGUAACUGAUAGGGAUGUGGAGGUACCACUUGCUCAAGGAAAGAUUUCAGGGAAUCCCGGGAUUUCACUUGGUGGCUCUCUUCCAUUUUCCCAAGCAUCUCAAAUUUCCAUUACCCGGAGACACCGGAUUCUGUUUUCUUUGACAGUUUCCGAUUCUGUGGUCGGGAUGCCUGAGAUGGGACUAUCAUCCAUGAUGGUCAUUGUUGGAAAAGUUAUUUUUGAAGACAUUUUGAUGAUCCAUUUCGAUCUCGUAAAGCAUGGAUACGAAGCCAAAUUACCACAAAAAGAAAUCAUCGUUCCAUAAAAACCUGGAUUUUAGGAGUGGCAGCAGCACACAGUUUGUCUGAAACAAAUAACAUAUAGGUAAAUGCAUGUUGGGGGUGUGAUGCACCUAUAUAGUUAAAUAGGUUUCUAUUUGUUUUGCAAUGGCGGUAUGCUUCACCCCGGCUUUACUUACUCUUUCCUUUUCCAUUUCCACUAUUUCCUUCUCAUCUCCUCUUUCUUGCUUACUUUUCUCUUUUCUUUUUCUUUUCUUCUCUCAUUUUUUUUAUUUUCUUAUUUUCUAUUUCUUAUUGACAUUAGUCACAAAAUUAUGACCGUAUCCGCUAAGGAUUUCCCACAUAUCAUGACGCCGUAUGAAUCAGAUCAUUACGUUGUUAAGGAAAAAAUAAAUACGGAAAAUUAAAGAAACAUUUUCUUAUUUUAAUUAAUAAAACUCCUAAACUUCAAUUGCGAAAGAUUAUAAACUACUUAUGUUCUUGGAAUGAAUAUCAUCAAACAGACUCAAAAUAAACCAAAAUAAAGACUUGAUACACGAAAAAUCAGGAAUACAUUAAAUCUUCAAUUCUUAGGGCUCACGGGGCAUCAUUCGGCCUCGCCACGAGCCUAUGUGCGAGACCCCUUUGUAGCUCUCCAAAUCACUUAUUAUCUGGCGGACGAAUGUUAUCACUGUCGCAAAAAAGAUGGUUCGGGUCAUAUCCUCACAUGCUUGGCAUUUUGUGACAAUGUAGUAGGCAAUAUGCCUAAUCCUUUCUCGAAUCCUACCUUUUUCCUGAAUUGGCCUCCCGAUUUGCUGAUUUCUAGCUUCUAACACCUGGGUGUCGUGAUGGUUUAGGUUUUGCAGCAGUUGCAAUUCCUCCUCCAUCCAAGCCAUUAGAGCAUAACAAUGAUCCCUAUCAGCUUUAAAGUUCUUUGCUUGCUUAGCCACCUCAUUCUCAAUGGUUGUUAAUUUUCUUCUGUGGUUAGUGAUUGUCCCUUCAUACUUUCUUAUCAUUUGCUGCACAAACUCUGUCCUCCCUUCUGCAUUCUAUGCCAAUUGGACCAAGACAUAUGCUAAAAUGGCUUCAUAUUUUCCUAAAUCAUCUUUACUCUGAAAUACUUUCCUUCUUAAACUUCUUAUAAGCCUUUCGUCGGCUCGGAUUCUUUCUGGGUUUCUGGCUGCUAUUCUCAGUUUCUGGAAUUGAGCCUUGAGGGCUUAAUUUUUCUAGGUUAACUUUUUCUUUUCCCCUUCAUCUGCAGCAGCUUGGAUACUCUUGGAAAAUUAGAGGUCCUUUAUUUUUUCUUCAAACAUACCUAUUUUAUCCCUAUAGCUUUCUUCUUUUGCAAACCAACCCCACUGCUCUUGUGAUGCCUCGAAAAAUAGAUGGGGUCUUUAGGUCGGCUUCCGGAACCCAAUUUCCCUUAUAUACAAAAACAGGUACCCUGGUGAACCUUCACCUUUAGAUCAAUCACGUACACUGGUAUUUUUCGUCAAGUAUUGACACUCACUCUAUAUUUGGAGGACUGCUUCUUCACGAAGCUUGCCAUCAGAACCAAUCUCGACUACUUGAGCACUAAGAUCUACAUCUUUUGGAACUAUUUGGCAUCACUCCAGCUAUCUCAAAACCCGAUACUGGGCAUAAGGAUGGAUACUCACCCACUAAGAGGAAAUGAGUCCUGGUAGCUGGCAUGUAUACAAUCUUUUCCACAAGAAGCCAUCCAAACGUCCACACUAUUUGGUUUGCAGUGAUAGAACGGAGGUAAGAUACCCAUUCUGUGACACCUUCUGGAAAGCUGAUCCCAUCGACCCUCGUAUCAAAUUUCUCUAUGCGGGUUUUCUCUGUCAACCCAUAUCUCAUGUAUAGAGGAUGAUGGCAUAGAUGUUCAGUCAUCCACAUAUGCAACAACAAUUUGCACCCCUUAAAAAAGUCUCCACCGGCUUUGCAAGCUGUGAGAGUGCGAAAGAUGUCAGCUACUAUCAUGGUUGAGAGGGAGCUUUUGGCGUGAGUAAGCAAAGUGUUGACAACCCCAGCUAUUCGUAUGUCGACAUUUCCAUCUUUCCUAGGAAACACUAGAAGUCCCAAGAAGACUACCAUAAAAGCAAAACAUUUGUUUUCUUCCUAUUUAAGGUUUUUCCCUUUGCUACAAAUUUAGUUUUCUAGAUUGUUAAAUCCUCCUAUGUGAGUGUAUAUCUAGUAUAUAAACUUUGGAGUGAAAAAACUUAAAUCUAGGUUGUGGGUCCCCCUGCUUAUCUUUAAGAAGUCUAGGGAUUUGUGCACAGUGACGGCUCUUGAAACAACUAGGUACUAGUGUCUCAGUGAAACCUCAAACCUCUCGAUAUACCCAGCUAUUUCUUCCAACGUUGGGGUGAGUUCAAAAUCUGAUAAAUGAAACAUGUUGUGAGCCGGGUCCUAGAAUGUAAUUAACGCCUCUAUGAUGUCUCCCUAGGCCUAAUCUUCAACAACCUAGUGAGACCUCUCAAAUAUUGAAUGAUCUUAUCUUGCUGUGAUUUACCUAGAUCAUCCCACCACAUACGCAUCUCAAUAUGGAUCCUGUUCAUCACUGUUAUUGGCAAAUUUUGGCUCGUGCUCAAUCUGCUAUUUUAUUAUGGUGAUUAAGCAAAAAUCGUCAUUCAUUUGACUCGAAAACAAAGCUGACAUUUUUUUUUUCUUCAGACUUUCAUUUCUGAAGUAAAAACCCUACUUUACAAAUACGUCCUUUUAGCACUUCUGGGGAAUUUUAAGGCUUUUCUUGCUAACCGACCAAAAAUUUUAAAAAGAGAUCAUAGGCAGCUAUUCUUCCAAAAAUAGCCUUAUGGCAUCCUUCUGAGACAGUCGGUUAUUUUGACAUGAAUGGCUACACCUUACUUAUUUACAACAAGGUGAUAAAAUUUUGGUUGUUUUUGGGCUAUUUUUUAAAUUUUGCAAAAAAGAAAAAAAAAGUUUGACCCGAUGGGGGUUGCCUACGUAUCCCACACAUAGUUAAAAUAAAACUAGCUUUGUUCGAUCAAAAAAGAAACCCACUAUAAAACAAAAAAAAAUUCUCUUUUUUUUCCGAAUUCCAGCAAAGUGUCAGUUUAUUUUUGACAUUGGUUUUUUGAAAAAAUGGCGAUUAUUUCUCUCAACCCUCAUAUUGACUUUCCUCUUUGCAACUUUUCCUCAAUGAGCCGGUCAACAUACAAAUCCGAAGAAAAAGAAUGCAUUAGUAGCAAGUAAGAUGCAUCAAGAUGGUUUUUUCUUUUCGGGUACACCUAUCCUAAACAGUCCCAACCCUUGUGUUGAGUCUCCAAAGCCAAAUGAAUUUGAUGCAAACAAACGUUCCUACUAGGGAUCCAGCAUGAGGUUGAGUUAUUCUAAUUUCAAAACCUGGGUAUGUGUUCUAGACUGUGUACUCGAGCCAAGAAGGGGGCUAUGUACCGGGAAUCGAAAGGUCAUCCGGCUUACUAACUUGUCCAAGGCUCUUUCUUAUUUCAAGAUAUGACACUAACAUAAUAGGGAGUCUUGACCAGCGAGCACAUCCCCGAAGAUGAGAAGAAAAGGGUUUGGUAGCAGUUUAUAUAUAGUUCAGAUAACAUCAAAGCGGUAAAAGCAUCAUUGAGCACAUUAGGCAAAAACAUAUAAUAAAAUCAGAUAAUAGAUAAAGCAAAUUAUAACAACUAUUCUAAGCCUGAAUUCUUGAACCCUGAACCAAAGUUCUAGGUUUGGGUCCUCAGUAGAGUCGUCAUAGCUGUCACACCUCCUCUUUUACACACCACCACAAAGGAUAGUGUAAGGUAGUUUUCAAUUUAAGUGACAUUAUUCAAAAUUGGAUUAUUUAUUCAAUUCAGAGUCGCCACUUGGGAUAAUUUAUUUUGGUGUCCCAAGUCACCGAUUUAUUUUUGAAUCGGGAAUCGAGGAAAAUUUGACUGUUCUUGUGAAGUCUGCGAAUAAGAAAUUCUGAAUAAGGAAUUCAUUUAACCCCAGGGAAGGCGUUAGGCACCCUUGGAUUCUAUGGUUCUAGCACGGCCGCAUAAACUAUCAUAUUUUGCCAAUUAUCUAAUUUUAAUACAUAUUUUAAAUCUAUGGUAUGAUUUUAACUCUUUAACCGCUUUUAUUCAAUUUUAGGAGAAUUUCUACGUCAUUUAAAAUAUGUCUUCGAUCAUGUCAGAUAAAUGCACCCGUAGUCCGAAAUACAUUUUAUCUAACAUUGAGAUUUUUGUUUUGGUCACAUAAAUGCGCACCCGAGUUUAGGAAGGUAAUUUAUUAAAAUGACGCACCUAAAGCAACUACGUGCUUUCAAGUUUGAGAGGGCCAUUGAAGAUUUUCUAAAUGGCACGCCUCGAUUUCUAAUGAUCAAAACAAAAUUAAUUAAUUGAGGGCCAUGCAAUGAUCAUUUUUGUUUGGCAUGGUUCACUUCAAUUCUAAUUUAAAAAGAUAUUCAAACUAAGCUUUACAGGGAAAUGAACUAUUUGUAUGAUCUAAUAUGGCACACCUCCAAUUUAUUUUAGGGAAUCUAAUUAGUUGAACCUUAAAAUGAAUUUGAAUUUUUACUAUCAUGCUAAAGAAAGGAUUUGGGCCCCCGACCACAUUUGUAUAAGAACAAUGGAAAAGCCCAAGAAUGGUAACUUAUCUAAAUGGCUCCUCAAAUCCAACAUUAUGAAAUUUAGGGGAGGACUACAAAAGAGAAUAAAUUUUUCUACCUAUAUGCGAGUGAACCAAAACAACAAACUGAUCCAAUUGCCUACCUGGGGGCAGUUAGCAUCUCAGUCUUGAAGCAAACAAUUAGGCUCACGUGAGCCCAAAUCACCCCAUAGCACAAAAAACGACUUUUAAUAGAUGGCUGAAACCACAACCCAAUUUCAAUAUUAGUAAAUAAGUCCAAAUCACCUUUUUAGGGAAAGAAGUACAUUGCUAAGCUACAUGUUUAACAAUAUAAUUACAACUUCAACAAAACAUAUUCAUGAUGCUUAAUUUAUAACUCUUAAUUACAUCCAUUUCAACCCAAUGAUUUUAACUCCUGAAAUCUAGCAAAGGACUCCACAGUAGUCAGGAUUCCCAAGGUAAUGAAAAGUCUUUGCUAAUAUAGAUAUCCCUACAGGACUAGUCUGAUUACAUGCUUGGGCAUUAAUUUCAACAAAUUCAACACAAAGCAGAAACUGAAACACUGAUUCCAUAAUGUAACAGAUACAUGUAACUUAGCCUGGGUUUCCUAUUACACUAAGAACAGAUUCCACAAUUCAUUUGAACCAUAGUUCGAUUCAGCCUUUUUAUAGUUCUUCUACUAACAAAUUCCAGAAAUUGGCACUACUAUCUACUCAAAGAGAAAUUUCAAGUAUGAAAAAAGGCAAACACCCAAGACAUGUCGAUUCUAUGUAUUCAUAUGUAAAUUACAACAAGUUCAGCAAUAACCUUAAGAACCAUUCACAAACACAAAUUAAACCUUGACUUCAUUCACCUUAUUCUGCUGGAGUUCAUCAUUUUUACAAAAGUUAGAAAUAUAUUGGAUAUGAAUCAGGAAGAAACAAGUGUGACAAGAAAACUAGGAAUCCGAUUGCUCUUAAAAAAAUAGGGCUACAUUUACAAGCUAGUAAGGCAUAGUAUGCCAUUUAAUCAAGUAAUGCUCUUUUACUUCACAUAUCAAUAGAUUGGGAAAUAACUAGAAAAGAAAAGAAGAUAGAACAAGGAGAGUCAGUAGAAGCAAAACAACACAGCAACAACAAUUCUUAAACAGCACUCAUUUCAAAAUUAGCCGAACCCACCAACAGCUCAAACCAAACUCCACAGAAUCAACUAAACCUUCUAUACUUAGAUUCAAUCCAUUUUAUAAACCUCAAUCAACUAGCACUCAUUUAAAAAUUAGAAAGCUUGAGAAACCAAAAAAAAAAUGGAAAGUGUUUUCUUAAAUUCUGAACCGUUUGUAUUAAUUCAGAUUUUUUUGUCACUUUUUGUUCUAGGUCUAAAAAUCUCCAUUGAGCUUCAAGUAAGGAUGAAUUUAUAGGUCAGGUUUUAAGACUUUAGAAAUGAGCUAAGUUUAGCACCCUAACCCUUUUUAAGGUUUCAUUUUAUGCUUCUUAAUCCCUGAGAUACUGACUUACUUACCAAGUAAGUCCCUUUUUCAGCUUCCAGAAAGCUUCCUAAGGUUGUUACACCCAGAUUCCCUGGGUUAAUUACCCAAAUUAUUUUAGAACCUUGUUAUUACCCCCUAAACCCAAUGGGUCAAGUUGACCGGUUAAUGAAACCAAGAGUGGGUUCAAUUAUGACCCAACGACCCAAAUCAAACUCCCAUUGGGUUAGGUCUGCAAUGGCUUUAAAGCCCAAACAUAGGUGGAAGGAAUCAAAUCAGUCAAAAGGUAAAUACUUGAAAAAUUCAAAGGAAUUAGCUUAUACCAAUCAACUGAUUACACAAAUGAGAAAAAACUAAUCAAGUUAUCCAAAUUGCCCUAAUUAAAUUCACUAGAUGAACAAUUAGAACAAAAACCAUGCCAUUUAGUCAACACAAAUCAAACAAAUCAAGUAAGAUCGUAAAAUAGUCUUGGCAACAAAAGUACAAAAUGAAAAACCAACAAAGACGAAACACACAUAUCCCAAACUUGGCCAAAUAUUUUGUGAAAUUUCAAUUAAGGAAAAAAAAAGGAAAGGAAAGGUACAAUAAAUGAAAAUAGAACAAGAAACAGACCCAAAAAUGAAAUGGAACUCACCGGCUAAACAUGAACUCGAGACCUGACACUCUAACUUCAUCACCAAAUAAGGUUAGUCGCUUGUCCUUUGUCAAACACAAUUGAACAACACUAUUUCGUGACAAAGCCGACUCUGAAAACUAAUGCGGGUUCGAACAAAAAUCAUAUACGCGGAGGUUUAGAUUUAGCUCUUAGAACUUGGAUUUUAGAUUUAAGAUUCAAGCCUCUAUGGGGAGAUUUGAAGGGAAUGUAGUGAGGAUUUCAAACGAGGAGAAUAAAGGGGUUUUGGGGUAUCGAUUUGGUGUCGUUUGGAGGUGCGCCGCCACCGGAGAAAUUGGGCGGCGCUAGUGUUCCGCUUCUUUGAACUAAAAUUUAAAGAGUUUCAAGGGGAUUCGAGUUGAAUGGAUUGGGGAUUUGGGAUGGGGGGUGGAGGAGAUUCAAGCGUGUAUUUUUUGAGGAGAUUCAAGCGUGUAUUUUUUGAGGAGAUUGGCCACCGGGCCGCCGCCGUGGUUGAUUUCCGGCGAGUGGCGUCGGGUAGAGUAAGACGGCGAUGAAUGGGUCUCUAAUGGGUGUGAGGUGAGAGACGAUCAGGGUAGGUGAGUGUUUAGAUACUUUUAUAUUAAACCCUUCCCC